GGAGGGAGCGAACGUUGUUCGGAUUCACUGGGCGUAAAGGGUGUGUGGGCGGUCUUGCAAGUUUGAGGUGAAAUCUUCCGGCUCAACCGGGAAACUGCCUUGAAGACUGCAGGACUUGAGGGCGUGAGAGGAGACUGGAAUUCCUAGUGUAGCGGUGAAAUGCAUAGAUAUUAGGAGGAACACCAGUGGCGAAGGCGAGUCUCUGGCACGCAUCUGACGCUGAGACACGAAAGCCAGGGGAGCGAACGGGAUUAGAUACCCCGGUAGUCCUGGCUGUAAACGUUGGGUACUAAGUGUUGGCCGAUCGACCCGGUCAGUGCUGCAGCUAACGCGCUAAGUACCCCGCCUGGGGAGUACGGCCGCAAGGUUG
rnacentral:rRNA from 1 species